rfam:Kluyvera intestini strain GT-16 tig00000000, whole genome shotgun sequence.
GCGCCCUUAGCUCAGCUGGAUAGAGCAACGGCCUUCUAAGCCGUAGGUCACAGGUUCGAACCCUGUAGGGCGUA